AGCGCCAGGGAAUUACGAGCAAUGCUUAAAACCCAAAGGAUUUGACGGUAUCCCAUCCACCUAGAGGAGCCUGUUCUAUAAUCGAUACCCCCCGCUACACCCAACCACUCCUAGCCCAUCAGCCUGUAUACCUCCGUCGAAAGCCUACCAUGUGAAUGUUCUUAGUGAGCUUAAUGUCCCCGUCAAAACGUCAGGUCAAGGUGCAGCUCAUGGAGUGGAAAGCAAUGGGCUACAAUUUCUAAUCUAGAACAUACGAAAAACUAGGUGAAACCCUAGUCAUGAAGGCGGAUUUAGCAGUAAAAAGAAAAUAGAGUGUUCUUUUUAACCCGGCCCUGGGAUGUGUACACACCGCCCGUCACCCUCUUCGACUGUAUUUAACAAUGUUCUAUAACUUCCCCCCACAUUUUAGAAGAGGCAAGUCGUAACACGGUAAGUGUACUGGAAAGUGCACUUGGCUAAUAC
rnacentral:rRNA from 1 species